rnacentral:rRNA from 1 species
GACGUAGGGCGCGAGCGUUGUCCGGAAUUAUUGGGCGUAAAGAGCUCGUAGGCGGUCUGUUACGUCUGCUGUGAAAACCCGGGGCUUAACCCUGGGCUUGCAGUGGAUACGGGCAGACUAGAGGCAGGUAGGGGAGAAUGGAAUUCCCGGUGUAGCGGUGAAAUGCGCAGAUAUCGGGAGGAACACCGGUGGCGAAGGCGGUUCUCUGGGCCUGACCUGACGCUGAGGAGCGAA